CUAUCCCUUCGUCCCCCUCUCGCGACGGUCACUCGAGAGUCAACAGACAUUUCUGCCCACCCUCUCCCUAGACCAGAACUAAAACCUCGAAGCCCCCUGAUGUUGUCACCCACUCCCGUCUCUCUCAAAGUCGAGACACUCCGAGGACGGAUAUUCUCUACCGACUACCAUAAGUAAAGCCAAGGCUGAAGGUAGUUUCUUUUUUGGGUAAGGAUUUGUUGCUGCAAAGGUCACCAUUAGUGAUGAAGAAACAAAGGUGGCAAAGAAGGAGGAAGUUGAAAAGGAGGAGGAACAAGCAGUCUUGUCUCUAAGGUGUUGUCCAAUGGUUCUGUUUUUGCCUGAAAGGAGUAAAAAGAACACAAAGGGCAUAAGAUUAAUGGUGUGAAAUUAAUGGUGGGCAAAGGAUUGGUGGUGGCGGAACUGAUGCACGACGGAACUGGUGUCCUGCGGUGGUGCAAAGCGACGGAGAUGGUGCGAAUCGACAAUCUAAAAUACUGAAGGGGGCUUUUGGCCGAGAGUCGAGACAAAGCUUCUCUUCGAUUUAUUUUUUGCUUCUGAGAGUUUACUACAAUGUGAUGAGGUUAUUUUAAUUUAUGUGAAAUUGCUGACGUGGUUGAAUAUUAGUGGUGGCUGUUAAACCCAUAGUUUCGGAUGGACCGCUUCAAAGCGGAACUGUUAUUAU